rnacentral:tRNA from 1 species
AGAAGCUUAGGAUUAAAUCAAACCAGUGGUCUUCAACACCUCAAAUAAGGACAGCCCUUAGCUCCUG